UACAGAGGGUGCAAGCGUUGUUCGGAAUUAUUGGGCGUAAAGGGUGCGUAGGCGGUGCGGUAAGUCUUUUGUGAAAUCUCCGGGCUCAACCCGGAGCCUGCAAGGGAAACUGCCGUGCUUGAGUGUGGGAGAGGUGAGUGGAAUUCCUGGUGUAGCGGUGAAAUGCGUAGAUAUCAGGAGGAACACCGGUGGUGUAGACGGCUCACUGGACCGUAACUGACGCUGAGACACGAAAGCGUGGGUAGCAAACAGG
rnacentral:rRNA from 1 species